GAUGAACGCUGGCGGCGUGCUUAACACAUGCAAGUCGAACGAAGCACUUAAGAUUGAUUCUUCGGAUGACGUCUUUUGUGACUUAGUGGCGGACGGGUGAGUAACGCGUGGGUAACCUGCCUCACACAGGGGGAUAACAGUUAGAAAUGACUGCUAAUACCGCAUAACCCGAUAGGAUCGCAUGAUCCAGACGGAAAAGAUUUAUCGGUGUGAGAUGGACCCGCGUCUGAUUAGCUAGUUGGUGAGGUAACGGCCCACCAAGGCGACAAUCAGUAGCCGGCCAGAGAGGGUGAACCGCCACAUUGGGAGUGAGACACAGUCCGAACUCCUACGGGAGGCAGCAGUGGAGAAUAUUGCACCAUGGGGGGAACACUGAUGCAGCGACGCCGCGUGAGUGAAGAAGUAUUUCGGUAUGUAAAGCUCUAUCAGCAGGGAAGAAAAUGACGGUACCUGACUAAGAAGCCCCGGCUAACUACGUG
rnacentral:rRNA from 1 species